rnacentral:rRNA from 2 species
CGGCGAGUGAAGCGGCAACAGCUCAAAUUUGAAAUCUGGCUCUUUCAGGGUCCGAGUUGUAAUUUGUAGAGGAUGUUUCGGGUGUGGCUCCGGUCUAAGUUCCUUGGAACAGGACGUCAUAGAGGGUGAGAAUCCCGUAUGUGACUGGUAGCCUAUGCUCAUGUGAAACUCCUUCGACGAGUCGAGUUGUUUGGGAAUGCAGCUCAAAAUGGGUGGUAAAUUUCAUCUAAAGCUAAAUAUUGGCCAGAGACCGAUAGCGCACAAGUAGAGUGAUCGAAAGAUGAAAAGCACUUUGGAAAGAGAGUUAAACAGUACGUGAAAUUGUUGAAAGGGAAGCGCUUGCAACCAGACUUGCAUGUAGCUGAUCAUCCGGUGUUCUCACCGGUGCACUCAGUUGCGUUCAGGCCAGCAUCGGUUUCGACGGUUGGAUAAAGGCCUUGGGAAUGUAGCUUCUUUCGGGGAGUGUUAUAGCCCAGGGUGCAAUGCAGCCUGUUGGGACCGAGGACCGCGCUUCGGCUAGGAUGCUGGCGUAAUGGUUGUAAGCGACCCGUCUUGAAACACGGACCAAGGAGUCUAACAUCUAUGCGAGUGUUUGGGUGUCAAACCCAUACGCGUAAUGAAAGUGAACGGAGGUGAGAACCCUUAAGGGUGCAUCAUCGACCGAUCCUGAUGUCUUCGGAUGGAUUUGAGUAAGAGCAUAGCUGUUGGGACCCGAAAGAUGGUGAACUAUGCCUGAAUAGGGUGAAGCCAGAGGAAACUCUGGUGGAGGCUCGCAGCGGUUCUGACGUGCAAAUCGAUCGUCAAAUUUGGGUAUAG